rnacentral:lncRNA from 1 species
AUUUAUAGAGCUUUGCGACCAUCACCGCCAUCUAGUUUUAGAACAUUUCCGCCCCUGCAACAAUGUCCUUUUGCCCGUUAGCAAGUCAGUCCCUGCCCUCACCCUCAGCCCCAGGCAACCACGGAACUUUCUGUCUCUAUAGGUUUGCCUUUUCUGAACAUUUCGUAAAUGGAAUCGUACAAUACUUGGUCUUUUGCAUCUGACUUCUUUUAUGAGCAUAACUGUUUGGAGUUUCAUCCAUGCUGUAGGCUUCACGUCAUCCUUUAUAUGGCUAAUAUUCCAUUGCACAGAUGCGUUCCAUUUUGCUUAUCUGUUUACCAGUUGACGGACAUUUGAAUGUUUUCAGUUUGGGGCUAUUACAAAUAGCAUUGCCGUAAACAUUCACAGACAAGUCUUUAUUUGGGCUUGUGUUCGCCUGUCUCUUGGGUGAAUACCUCAAUCCUAACCUUUUAAACUGCUGUGGCAUCUUCCACCCGAAGGACGCACUCUGAUGUCCUAACCUUUCAAUGGAUACUUCGUGUUUCCGAAGUUUUGCUGUCACCAACCGUGCUGCUCUGAGCUUUCUCCCUCUUUGGGCGUGUGUACAAGGAGAGAGACGGCUGGGUCACAGGGUAGGGACAUUUCACAUUUGUUGAAUUGUUGCCAAGUGACAACAUGACAGUCUUGCGUCCUCUUCAAAGGAACAGGAAGAGAAACAAAAGCCACUGUGAAGAUAUCACCCCCAUACUGGUCCAUUGAGCCUGAGGGACUAAACAAGGAGGAGAAAGGCUGCUUCGGGGGAAAAGUCUCCAGGGUGCAGACUGGGCAGUCACAGGAUGGCUGAGACCAGGCAGGAGAAAGAAGAGGCUGGGAUGGGGACUAGAACCCUUCCUCUCAAGCUUCUCUUUUGCAGGCCUGUAAGAUAAUGAGCUCUCUGUCACUGGAGGUGUGUAAGUGGAGGCUAGCCAGCCAUUUGGCAGGGGCUGUAAAGGAGCUCUCGGAAUCUGAUGAGAAACCGAAACACAUGGCUUCUGAGGUAGCAGUGUGGCCGAGGAGUUAAGAAUGUGGGCUUCGCUGGCAGGGGCCCCUCGUUCAAACCUCGACUCUGCCAUUUCCUAGCUCUGUGACGCUGGAAGAGUAAAUUCAGCAAUCGCAGCCUCAAUUCUCGCAGCUGUAAAAGGAGAAGGUGACUCUACCUCUCGUAGUCUCUGGUGGGGGCAGGCCAAUGACAUCAUGUGGGUGGGGCUCAACUGUCAGGCCUAUGAUUAUGACUCCCUAAAUCCUGUGAUCGCGGGCUGUGCUGUCUGGGGACCCCAGGAAAUGGGCAUGAGAGAACAGUGAGGUGUGCCCAGUGGCUUCCAGAGAAGGAAUGGCCUCCACAACCCUCACAGCAUGGGACUCACAUCCAGGCUCUCCCUAUUUCCAGCCACGUGACCUCGGGCAAGGAUUUAAUCUGUGGCUCCAUGUCCUCAUCUGCACAACAGUAAUAAUACCAACUUCAGAGGGUUGUGGGGCAGCGAGGUUAAAUUUCAUGUGACAGAAAAUGGCAAAAUAACAGUGGCUAACCCAAGAGAGCCGUUUCUUUCUCUCACAUAAAAGAAGUCUAGAGGUGAGCAGGUAAGCGAUCCAGGGCUGGUGUGACAGCUCCAUGGAGUAGUUAGAAAUCUAGUUCCCAGCUCUUCUAACCUCUGAGUGUGGUCCUAGUCCUCAUGAUCCAGUAGGACAGCCAGAGAUCCAGCCAUCACAUCUGUAUUCAGAGAGCAGGAUGGAAGAGGAGGGGACAAGAGGGCAAAGAGUAUGAACCAGUCCUCAUAAGAAGGUUUCCCCAACUGUCACCUGACAGUUCCACUUACGUCUCAUUGACCAGAACUUUAUCAAGUGGCUACACUAGCUGCAGGGGAGAGGGGAACAGAUAUUGAGUAGACAGGGAACAGCUCUGUCCGUUCCUUCCAGACCCCAGGUAACCACUAUUCUGAUUCCUGUCACCAUAGAUUUAUCUUGCCUGUUCUAGAACUUUAUACAAAUGUCGUCACACAGAACCUUCUCUUGUAUCUGGCUUAUUUCAUUCAACAUUAUGUUCAUGGAUUCCUGAGCUUUUUGUUAUUUUUUUUUGAUCUCCUUCCUUCCAGAAGGAGAUGUUCGUCAACAUUCAGGCUUUCAUUAAUUUCUUCCAUCAUUGAGUCACUCAUUCAACAAAUAUUUCUUGAGCCCCUACUGUGUGCUGAAAGCUGGCCAAACACAGUCACCCAUGGCAAAGACUGGUGAACCCUGAGUCUCCUGAGAUGUCCUCUGACCCAAAUCUAUUUGGGCUCCAAAUUACGAUGGUGACAGCCCUUCUCUGAACUCCCUCAGCACCGAGUAGAAUCCCCGGUAGACAGAGGCCAAACAGCCUGGUGGUGGGGAGCUCAGGCUCUGACAGCCACAGACGGGCGCUUAGUAGGCGCUUAAUAAACAGCAGCUGCAACUAGUUCCUUGGCAUGGGAGCAUUGUAAGGAGCAGAGCCUUCCUCUUUCCUAAUCCUACUGGCCCUAUAAGGAAACUGUUGAGCCCACAGGCUGGCCUUGCCUUCUGCCUUCCUAUCUCCAGCAAGCCACGGGAGGGAGGAAAGGGCAGCAAGGGCUGGCAGACUGAAAUGCCUUUCUGCUAAGAUCAGAAACAAAGCAAAGUUGUCCAUUUUUGCCACUUGUAUUCACGUUGUACUGGAGGUUCGAGAGAGGCAAGAAGGCAAAAAAAUGAAAGAAAUUAAAGGCACCUAUUUGGGCACAACCAGAAGGACCUACAGAAGGACAGCAGGCUCUUCUUACUCAGUGGAGAAGGGCUCUGAAAUCUGAGAAGGUUGCAGACCUCCCGCCUUGACAGGCAGGACCAGAGUGCUUCAUCCAGAACCUGCUCAAUGCUGAGGGCCAGGUCACAGGCCCCAGAGGAACAGUUUACCAGCAAAAGCAGCAGCCUUCUGCACCCACAACGAACUCACCAGGAGGCGCUGGGAGACAACAUAAUGAAGUGAAAUUCGCAUCCUAGGGCUAGUGAAGAGUGGUCACCUUCUUUCCUUAAGUGAGCACAAGGCUGAUCCUUGACAGGUUGAUGCGUGAUGCAAAUACCUACAGGCGCCAAGAUGCUAACAUAAAUGAGAGAAGCCCAUUGGCUUAAAAAUAAAUAAAUAAAUAAAAACCAGUGAAAUAAAGGACAAAACCCACAUGAUCAUCUCAGUAGACACAGAAAAAGCUUCUGACAAAAUCCAACACCCAGUCAUGAUAGAAAUUCUCAGUAAACUUGGAAUAGAAGGUUACUUCCUCAAUUUGAUGAAAACCUAUAGCUAACAUCAUGCUUAAUGGUAAAAGAAUGAAAUGCCUUUCUGCUAAGAUCAGAAACAAAGCAAAGUUGUCCAUUUUUGCCACUUGUAUUCACAUUGUACUGGAGGUUCGAGAGAGGCAAGAAGGCAAAAAAUGAAAGAAAUUAAAGGCACCUAUUUAGGCACAACCAGAAGGACCUACAACUAGAAUAUACAGCUAUGUACUGGGAGGCUUUGGGGAGAAGAAGAAGAAGAAGAAGAAAAAAAGAUUGGCAACAGAUGUUAGCUCAGGUGCCAAUCUUUAAAAAAAAAAAUCCCAAUUUUUUAAAAAAGGCACCUAUUUGGGAAUAAAGAAGUAAAACUGUCUUUAUUCACAGACAACAUGGUCAUGCAUACAGAAAAUCCUAAGAAAUCUCCCUCUCAUCACACACACAGACUGCUAGAACUAAUAAAUAAGCAAUGAAAUCACAGGAUACAAGGUCAAUAUUAAGAAAAAAAUCAAUUGCAUUUUUCUACACUAGCAACAAAUAAUUUAAAAAAUGGAAUUAGGAAAAUAAUUCUAUUCACAGUAGCAACAAAAAGAACAAAAUAGGGGCUGGCCCCAUGGCCGAGUGGUUGGGUUCACGUGCUCUGCUUUGGUGGCCCAGGGUUUCACCGGUUCGGAUCCUGGGUGUGGACAUGGCACCACUCAUUAGGCCAUGUUGAGGCAGCAUCCCACAUGCCACAACUGGAGGGACCCAUGGCUAAAAUAUACAACUAUGUCCUGGGGGGAUUUGGGGAGAAAAAGCAGAAAAAAUUUAAAAGAACGCAAAAU